GUGGAGGGGGCUUGAGGGUCCUGGUCGUUCACCCGGUUGAAAAGAGAAGAGACGGGAGGUCGGUUCCUUCUGCCUCGUACUACCGCCGUAACCCUAACCCUAACCCCUAGAGCAGAUCCAGCCAGCCGCAGUGCGAGCGUCACCGGCGUCUCCUCCGCCCCCUACCUCAAAAAAGAUAAAGCCGGAGAAACUGGAGGUAGGUUCUUUCCGCCUCGUCGUAACACCCUAAGCCAUACAUCAGAUCUAGCCCGCCGCAAUGCGAGCGUCGUCGGGAUCUCCUCCUAUCCCGACCUCGAAGGGGGAGGGUGUGAUGGAAGUUGAAUCGGAUCAAGAUCAGGAUGAUUGUGAUGUGAUGAUUGAGCCUGCCGCUGCCCUCAGGGGUCUCUAUGCGAUGAUGGUCUCAUGGUGUGACCAAUUCCUUGAUAUUGAUAUUGAUAUUGAGGAGGAAGGGGAUAGAUCCGUUCCUCCCUUGUUGAUGAUCCACUUUCCCCGUCUUUUUGAGAGAGCAUGGGGAAAUAAUCGCCUAUAUCCUCAAGCUUUAGAUGACUGGUGUCCGUAUUGUGCAUACCUCCAGAAGUUCUGCGAUCAUAAUGCUCCUCGUUAUCAUGAUCCCGAUGCCUACAAGUUGUGUAUGGAUCAGGAAAUUAGAUUGAAGUCUGAGUGGCUGUACAAGCACACCCAUGUCCCCCAUGAUGAGAUCAGUCUGAGUGACAAUAUCCAAAACUGCGCUUAUGAACUUAUCCGUUCCAACAGCGGUGAAGCAUCUAAUUUGACUAAAUAAACCUUGUGUUGCGAAGGAGAGCGAGUUGAUCGUUGAGAGGCUGAGCUGUCAUCCCAGUCUUCUGGACCCUGAAGAAUCACCCCACGAGAGCACACAGAUACGGAUGUUUGCCUUAAGUUGCAUGAAAGGUUCUCAGGCUUGUUCUGAUGCUGCUCUUCUGGUUAAAAAAGCUGCCCUGCUGGGCAUUACAAUUGAAGCUGGCUUGAUGACUCGGAACCUGAGGGAUAAGUAUUAUGACUCCAACGUAUCCUACCUGAACAGAUUGAUCCAGCGCUUUGCCUUAGAAGUUGUAAGGCAAAAUUUUGACUGAUCUCUUGAACAUUCUGCUCAUGAUGAUUAUCGGUAUGAUUUUGUUGCUAGACUUGAAGAAGAUGCUGAGAAUCAUUGCAGGGACAGCCUUGUAAACUCUGAUCCAGCUUCUGAGGAGAAAGGAAAUGUUGCAUCAUGUGCCUCCACAUGCAGCAACGGAAACUGAGGAAUGGAUGGUGCCAUGAAGGAGAAAGGGUUAGGAAAGAUGGAUCGCGAUUUCAUUUAUGCUCCCUUCCAAUUGGUGUACUGCAUGAAGCGGACAUGCUUUUCAAGCUAUGUGUUGGGUUCAAGUUUAAUUGUGUCAAACAUACCUUUACCAAUCUAGCUUAUAUAUUUGGACCAAAUUCACCCCAAUAUUUUUGUGUUGAUACCUUUAUCCUCUCUUUCUCUUUCAUAUCUGUGGAAAUAAGAUGGGUAGUUUUGUUUCGUGUCAA